rnacentral:rRNA from 1 species
GAUGAACGCUAGCGGCAGGCUUUACACAUGCAAGUCGAGGGGCAGCAUAAAAUAAACUUGUUUAUUUGGUGGCGACCGGCGCACGGGUGCGUAACGCGUAUGCAACCUACCUUAUACUGGGGAAUAGCCCGAAGAAAUUCGGAUUAAUGCCCCAUAGUACUGAGACCUCUCCUGAGGAUUCAGUUAAAGCUUUGGCGGUAUAAGAUGGGCAUGCGUCCAGUGAGCUAGAUGGUGAGGUAACGGCUCACCAUGGCGACGAUUGGUAGGGGGCCUGAGAGGGUGGUCCCCCACACUGGUACUGAGACACGGACCAGACUCCUACGGGAGGCAGCAGUGAGGAAUAUUGGUCAAUGGGCGCAAGCCUGAACCAGCCAUGCCGCGUGAAGGAUGAAGGUUCUAUGGAUUGUAAACUUCUUUUAUUUGGGAAUAAACCUCUUUACGUGUAGAGAGCUGAAGGUACCAAAUUAAUAAGCACCGGCUAACUCCGUGCCAGCAGCCGCCGUAAAAC